ensembl:lncRNA
UUUUUGUUUUAGAAAACCAUCCUAACUCACCUAUGAGAGCUGAAGGGUCAUACACUACCUAUAGAUAAGGUACUGCGUACAAGUGAGCACUGACAGUCAUUUUCCUGUCUUCUUAAUAAAGUGUCGUAUUUAAAGCAAAUUUAACAAGGUCCUGAAGCCCUUUAAAGUUUAAGAGUUACAAUAUAUGAACGCAUUUAUGAAUACUGCAGUAUUCAUGAUUGCCUAAGGUAUAUUGACAUUAGUAUGACAGCCCCUAGAUUAGCAUUUCAAUGGGGUUUUUGUGCUCACAGCUGCAAUGCAGACCUGCACACAGUGCUGAGUCAGGGUUCGGUCCCUGAACUGUCACCCGUUCAGCUCCUGCCCCAGCUCAGGCCACGAAGUUAUCAGCAUCUCUUCCAUUGAGCUCAGUAGAAACAAAUUCACCAUCCACCCCAGCCCUGCCUUAGGUGGGAAGAGAUCUGGCUUGAGAUAAACACCAUUUCCCCGAAUAGCAAAUGCUCAACUGAACUAACCUGCAGGCACAAUUCACAAAGAAAUACAUGCAAACCCUUGAUCGCUUUUUUAAAUUCCAGCCAGGAAGGCUCUAAUUUAAAUGGACUCAGGGAAAAAAAACCCAGACAGGUACAGCAACUGUGAGCGAUUUCUGAGCACAGUGGGAGGAAAAGGGACUCUCCUGCUUAGGAUGAAGCACCCACAGCUUCUCUGGGGAACCUGUGCCAGGGUCUCAACACCCACAUAAUGGAGAAUUCUCUACAUCAUAAUAGCUGUCCAUUUAAAGCCAUUUCCCCUUGUCCUGUCACUACAGGCCCUUGUCAAAAGCCCCUCUCCGGAUUUCUUGUUGUCCCUUUAGGCACUGUAAGACUGCUCUAAGGUCUCCCCGGAGCCUUUUCCAGGCUGAACCAUCACAACUAUCUCAGCCUGUCCCCAUAGCAGAGGUGCUCCAGCCCUCGGAGCAUCUUCGUGGACUCAUCUGGACUCCAAGACAUCUGUGUCCUUCUUAUGUUUGGGGCCCCAGAGCUGGACACAGUUCUCCAUGUGGGGUCUCACAAGAGCAGAAUAGAGAGGGAGAAUUCCUUCCCUUGACCUGCAGGUCAUGUUUCUUUUGAUGCAGCCCAGGAUAUGGUUGGUUUUCUGGGCUGCAAGUGCACACUGCUGGGUCAUGUUGAGCUUCUUAUUAACCAACACCCCAAAGACCUUCUCCUCAGGACUGCUCUCAAUCCAUUCUCUGCUCAGCCUGUAGUUGUGUUUGCCACUCACUGAACGGCAGGAGACUAAUCAUGUGGCCAACACAAGCGCAAGGCAGCAUUAUCUAAACCACUAUCUUAAAACUCAAGUGGGGCUCAAAUGAUUUACAAGUCUCUAUGCAAGAUCAUUCUAGCAACAAUUCCUUGUCUUUCAACACAACAUAUAAUUUUAUGCAUUUUAAGAUGCUAUAUAAUUGCAAAAUACAUUGAAACAACCAGAACUCCUUUGCGUAGACAUAAUAAAGAUACCCUUUGUUCACCUCAGAGAAGCAUCUGCAGUGAUGGCACAGAUGUUUAAGGUUGUUCCCUAACAGCUCCCCCAUAGAAAUUCAUACCAAAAUAAAUGUCCUUAAGCAGUUUCAUGGCCCUCAUGAUACUAGAAUGUGAUAACCUCAUCCAAGAGCCCAGCUGAAAAGACCGGCCACUCAAAAUUAAUUUGUUGGGAUGGAAAUCCUCAGCAGAGCAGCCAGAGGGUGCACGGGGAUGAGGACUGAGCCACCGGCCUCUCAGGAGUGGAGCAUGGAAGUCAGGAUGCAGCCUCCCUGCUGGGUCAGUCCCUGCAUCCAGCCCUGCCUUCCUCACCAGCAUGAAUUCUCUCAGUGGUGGGAAAGUUAAUGUGAUUGAUUCUACUCUUUCUGCAGCACAUGUCUUCGCAACUGCUCACAUGGGAUUUGUUUAUGAAUCCGGCUGUUGUCACUACAUUUGUGAUCGGUAUUAAAUGAAACAGGGGGAAAAAAAAUCUACAGUAAAUGUAGGACUAUGAAUGGGACUUCGGUUGUGGUCCCAGAGGUAACAUACACAGUAUUUUGCUAAAUUUAACAUGAUAAAAAAAAAAA